rnacentral:rRNA from 1 species
GCAUUAUAAUAAUAAACUGUCUUCGGACGGUGGCUCGACCUUGACCUCAAAUCAGGUAGGAUUACCCCGCUGAACUUAAGCAUAUCAAUAAGCGGAGGAAAAGAAACUAACAAGGAUUCCCCUAGUAACUGCGAGUGAAGCGGGAAAAGCUCAAAUUUGAAAUCUGACGGUUUUGCCGUCCGAGUUGUAAUCUGGAGAAGCGUUUUCCGUACCGGACCGUGUACAAGUCUUCUGGAAUGAAGCGUCGUAGAGGGUGAGAAUCCCGUCUCUGACACGGACUACCGGUGCUUUUGUGAUGCGCUCUCAAAGAGUCGAGUUGUUUGGGAAUGCAGCUCAAAAUGGGUGGUAAAUUCCAUCUAAAGCUAAAUAUAGGCGAGAGACCGAUAGCGAACAAGUACCGUGAGGGAAAGAUGAAAAGCACUUUGGAAAGAGAGUUAAACAGUACGUGAAAUUGUCGAAAGGGAAACGCUUGAAGUCAGUCACGUUUGUCGAGACUCGGCCCGGCUUGCCUGGUGCAUUUCUUGGUGAACGGGUCAGCAUCGGUUUUGACCAUCGGACAAAGGCCAAAGGAAUGUGGCAUCCUUCGGGAUGUGUUAUAGCCUUCGGUUUGCAUACGUUGGUUGGGAUCGAGGAACUCA